ensembl:lncRNA
GUUCUGCUCUUUGUAAUGUAGUCCAGAAUCCCCCAGAUCUCAUAAAGAAUCAGAACGACACUGCUGAGAUCAACUGUGUGCAUAGUGUAACAGACUAUGAGCGCAUACUGUGGUACAAACACACUCAGACCACCAAAUUGAAGUUUAUGGGGUACCUCCAUUUUCAGACUCCAAACCCAGAGACUGAAUUUGCAAACAUCUCACUGAGUGGUGAUGGAAGAAAUAAUGGCUCAUUGAUCAUAUCCAGACUGUCAGUGAAUGACAGCGCUGUGUAUUUCUGCGCAGCCUAUUACACAGUGCAGUAGAUUACCUCACUACACUACAAAAACCUUCCUCUGAUCCACAUUACCACCAAGACAACACCUGGAAUGGUUUGAUUUAGUGCCAAUAAAAACACAAACAUAUUCAGCAAUUGAAGAGUGUAGUGCUGGUAAGGAGGGGUCAAAUGGCUGUGACCACUGAUAUGAUGUCAUGUCCUGUAUAGCUUCAAGUUAAAUUAUGCCAUUUUGUUUCAGUUUGGAAUUAGCAACAGUCAACAUGACCAGGGCUAUUAUAAUACUGCUUCACUUACUCUACUGGAUCCAAGGUGCUGUCAGAGCAAAUGAUGUCAUUCAGCCCAAUAUAAUCUGGGCUAAAAUCGGUGAAUUAGCCACGAUCAACUGCAAACAUACAAAGGAUGCAACUUACAAUCAAAUGUACUGGUUCCGUCAGCAUCAAGGAGAGUCUAUGAAGCUCAUUGCCUUCACAGCCACCUUUAACAAACAGCCAGAGUUUGGAGAAGGUUUUGAUGAGAAUAAAUUUACAGCCAAUAAAACAGUGGCUGAGAGUGGAUCAUUAACAGUGAACAAUCUGGGUUCUACUGACAGUGCUGUGUAUUUCUGUGCAGUGAGUAAACACAGUGUUAGAAACUCAGAGAGAGGCUGUACAAAAACAAUACAGGCCAACCAGACUAAAUGCUGAUCAAAUGCUGAGCAGGAAUGCAGUUCUGUAUUUUAUCAUCAGAGGGCGCCAUGACGAUGAUAUUCAAGAGGUAUUCCUGUGUGUUAUGUUGCAUAUGUCUGAAGCAGCAAUCCAUUCAACUUUGAGAUUCAGCAUGAUCAGACUUCACAGCAUUAUUGUUUCAUUUAUAGGCCUGUUUGGGUUUUCUCACAGUAAUCGUGUCACCCAGACUCCUGCUCAUCUUACUGGAAACCAUGCGGGAUCUGCUACAAUCGAGUGUUCACACAGUGUACAGAGUUAUGAUCAAAUUAACUGGUACAAACAAUCCCAGCAACAAGAUUUAACGUUCAUUGGGUACCUCUUAAGAACGUCAAAACCUCAAAAAGAGCCAGAAUUUCUGAAUAAAGUGGAUAUGACUGGAGAUGGAACCAAGAAUGUCUUACUCAUCAUCAAAAAUCUUUCAGACACAGACAGUGCAGUGUAUUUCUGUGCUGCGUGGUACACGGUGCUGCAGAGCCGCUGCAUAGCAACACAAAAACAUCUGAAGACGUUAUUAGCACCUGCAUCUGUGGUCUUCCAGUUUUCACAAAGAAGAAGUGCCAGUCCAAACUUCAAAGAAACUGACACAAAGUCAUUUCCAAAGAGAUUUGUUAUGAUGAUUACUUUUUGCUGUUUUACACUGACAAUGGCUUCAUUUCAAGCUUUAAUCAUUAAGGCAGAGUCAAAAAUCAGGAAGCAGGCUAAUAUCUGCGAAAAUUUCUUUUUAAGAGAAAGAUAAAACUGUACCAGUUAAACACUGAGCUCUACCAUGAGAAUCUGUCACAAUAUAAAAAAAAGG